UUCUCCAAGUGCACACGCGUGAAAGCCAGGCAUUAUGGACUGGAGUGCAACAGGGUUGGAGGGCGUUUUUAAGUAGUAUAGAGCGGUGUUCAAGGAUACACGUUAGAAAGAACAUCGAUUGGGUAUCAUACCACAAAGGCAUGUGAAACACUGCGAGGGACGUUUGUACCGGUGAUCGAGUUUCUACUCUGGCCCAUCAGCUGAAUAGGUGGGGCUUGAUCAAUGGCAGGAAACUGAAGGAUCAAAUGGUAAUAUAUCAGAAUAAGCCUGAGCCAAAGUCUGCACUCAGCCACACACACACACACACAGACACUUAAACCUAGACAGAGGCCAAUGUGACCACAGAAACUGUAACCUGCACACUGACACAGAGAGUUGGUAACCUUCCUCUGUGCUAUA
ensembl:lncRNA